GUUAAAACAAAGCAGGCAAUGUUCUAAAUGUUUGAAAUAGCCCAGGACUAUCCUGAAGAGGGUUCAACAACAUAAAACAUCAUAUAUAUCAAAUAUGACAACACUUAAGAUGAAGAAUUUAGCCCUAACUGUUGAUGUGGAGUUGGUGCUAAUUUGCUGCCAUUCCCUUUCGUGAUGUUUUCAAUGUCAAGUAAUGCACAUUAAUAGCUGGACGCUGACAAAUUGUCACUCGCACCUGAGAACAGGCUGGUGAAUUCUGAGCUUCUUUGUGUCAGUCCAAUGUGCUAUGUGCAGAUGGGUUUGUUGCAGCCAGCCGGUGAUAGGUGCUUUUCUUGCUACCUGUACCAGCUGUAUGUUUCUUAUCGUAAAAAACACUGAACAGAAUGAACUGAACUUCAGAAGAAUGAAGGUAAUUAUGUUGAACAGCUUUCUAACUUGAAUGCUACCGAUAUUAUUAGUUGAUGACUAGUUCUUUGCUGAUGCUUGCUUUUUAUGAUGGUAAUAUAAAUUCUGUUCUUCAUUCUGUUAAGUGUUUUUGUAUGACACACUUCAGAACAAUGAAGUUAACUAUGUUGAUCAGCUUUCUAAUUUAAAUGCUACCAAUAUUGUUAGUUGAUGACUUGUUCUUUGCUCAUCUGUUGUAGAAUUUUCAGUCUAGUUUACAAAGGAAAAACUUGCCAACUGUAAUUCCUUUGAAAGAUUAACAGCCUGGUGAAGUAUGAGCUUCUUUGUUGCUGCCCAAUGUUCACAUGGAUUUGACAUAAAGCGGCAGGAUUAACAGCUAGUUGAAAUCUUGUCUUCACCUUCUUCUCCGUUCCAGUCUAAUUCACACAUGGAUUUUUUCAGUCAGAAUUUUGAAUUUGACAUGUACAAUUUUCUUAAUGGUUUAUCGUGUUUGUUCGCGUUGUUGCUGUCCGCUGUGGUACGUUGUUUCAGCCUCUGCUGGUGAUAGAUCUUUCUGCAUCAAAUUCAAUUAGCCGUUCCUUGGUGCUGGACUGCUGGUGUCGUGGUACCGAAAUCGCAUCAUUAUUUUGUUAAAUUGUCAUCGUGACUGCAGUUUACCGUUAAUAAGUUAAGAAGCAACAAAAACAAAUAUGGGAUGUCUAUGUCAACAAAUAAUAAACAUGUUUUCGGGAUUGGGAAAGGAAAGUGGAGGAUGUUGGAGAGGGGGAGGAUAUUUCAAGUUUGGAUAAAAAAUCAGUUAAUCUAUAACCCUACAAAUGUUGCCCUACCAAUUAAUCUCCAAACCCCACAAACAUAUACCUUCCAAUCCUUCAAACCCCGAAAACAUACACCACUAACCCUUAAAUUUAUACCCUUAACCCUAUAAACCAAUGUUAAACCUUAACCAUGUAAUAUCUGUAAUAAAUAAAAAUAAAUAUAUUAUAUGAACCAA